rnacentral:rRNA from 1 species
UACAGAGGGUGCGAUCGUUGUUCGGAAUCACUGGGCAUAAAGCGCACGUAGGCGGCACCGCAAGUGUGGGGUGAAAUCCCACGGCUUACCCGUGGAACUGCCUGGCAGACUGCGGUGCUAGAGGUUGGUAGGGGAGAGCGGAACUCUUGGUGGAGCGGUGAAAUGCGUAGAUAUCAAGAGGAACACCGGUGGCGAAGGCGGCUCUCUGGUCCAAUCCUGACGCUGAGGUGCGAAAGCUAGGGGAGCAAACGGG